GGGGAUGAAGGGCUUCGACGGGAGUGAUAAUGAUACUGCGCUCAAGCCGAGGAUAAAGAGUCACCUCGUGAAUCAUCUCUUUGACCAAUAAGUGCAAACUUAUUUUCAAAAGCAAAGGCAGUAAUGUUUGCCGCAACCGGCAAUUCACCUGUCAUUGCGCCAGCUCUCGCGUAAGUUUACCUUUCGUGUGAGCCGUUCUGUUCCUUGAUGUCUCAUAGGGGGAUUAGAAUGUCACAUCUUGAGGCUUGAUUGCCUGAUGUCUCGGCAGGCUUUGACGCUAAGAGACACGCCGAUAUUCUGUUUUGUCUGAUUUUUAGGAAUAGCGGCUUCAAAAAAAUCAGAAUACGCGUGUAAACCGUUCUAUCAUUCUCUUUCGGACGGGGGUUCAAUUCCCCCCAUCUCCAUUC
rnacentral:tmRNA from 1 species